UACGGAGGGUGCGAGCGUUAUCCGGAUUCACUGGGUUUAAAGGGUGCGUAGGUGGGAAUGUAAGUCAGUGGUGAAAUCUCCGUGCUUAACACGGAAACUGCCAUUGAUACUAUGUUUCUUGAAUUUUCUGGAGGUUAGCGGAAUAAUGUCAUGUAGCGGUGAAAUGCUUAGAUAUGACAUAGAACACCGAUUGCGAAGGCAGCUAACUACAGGAUAUUGACACUGAGGCACGAAAGCGUGGGGAUCAAACAGG
rnacentral:rRNA from 1 species